AUGGGUAUGACGGAAAUGGCAGACGUGUUAGGUUUAGAUUCUAGUAGUAAAGUAAACUUUGAGAGUUCGAAUCUCUCUACCCAUA
rnacentral:tRNA from 1 species